rnacentral:rRNA from 1 species
CUUGCCCGCUGGCGGCAGGCCUAACACAUGCAAGUCGAGCGGAUGAAGGGAGCUUGCUCCUGGAUUCAGCGGCGGACGGGUGAGUAAUGCCUAGGAAUCUGCCUGGUAGUGGGGGAUAACGUCCGGAAACGGGCGCUAAUACCGCAUACGUCCUGAGGGAGAAAGUGGGGGAUCUUCGGACCUCACGCUAUCAGAUGAGCCUAGGUCGGAUUAGCUAGUUGGUGGGGUAAGGGCCUACCAAGGCGACGCUCCGUAACUGGUCUGAGAGGAUGAUCAGUCACACUGGAACUGAGACACGGUCCAGACUCCUACGGGAGGCAGCAGUGGGGAAUAUUGGACAAUGGGCGAAAGCCUGAUCCAGCCAUGCCGCGUGUGUGAAGAAGGUCUUCGGAUUGUAAAGCACUUUAAGUUGGGAGGAAGGGCAGUAAGUUAAUACCUUGCUGUUUUGACGGUACCAACAGAAUAAGCACCGGCUAACUUCGUG